rnacentral:rRNA from 1 species
UACAUUUGAGUGAGUGGCGAACUGGUGAGUAACACGUGGGAAACCUGCCCAGAAGCGGGGGAUAACACCUGGAAACAGAUGCUAAUACCGCAUAACAACUUGGACCGCAUGGUCCGAGUUUGAAAGAUGGCUUCGGCUAUCACUUUUGGAUGGUCCCGCGGCGUAUUAGCUAGAUGGUGAGGUAACGGCUCACCAUGGCAAUGAUACGUAGCCGACCUGAGAGGGUAAUCGGCCACAUUGGGACUGAGACACGGCCCAAACUCCUACGGGAGGCAGCAGUAGGGAAUCUUCCACAAUGGACGAAAGUCUGAUGGAGCAACGCCGCGUGAGUGAAGAAGGGUUUCGGCUCGUAAAACUCUGUUGUUAAAGAAGAACAUAUCUGAGAGUAACUGUUCAGGUAUUGACGGUAUUUAACCAGAAAGCCACGGCUAACUACGUGCCAGCAGCCGCGGUAAUACGUAGGUGGCAAGCGUUGUCCGGAUUUAUUGGGCGUAAAGCGAGCGCAGGCGGUUUUUUAAGUCUGAUGUGAAAGCCUUCGGCUCAACCGAAGAAGUGCAUCGGAAACUGGGAAACUUGAGUGCAGAAGAGGACAGUGGAACUCCAUGUGUAGCGGUGAAAUGCGUAGAUAUAUGGAAGAACACCAGUGGCGAAGGCGGCUGUCUGGUCUGUAACUGACGCUGAGGCUCGAAAGUAUGGGUAGCAAACAGGAUUAGAUACCCUGGUAGUCCAUACCGUAAACGAUGAAUGCUAAGUGUUGGAGGGUUUCCGCCCUUCAGUGCUGCAGCUAACGCAUUAAGCAUUCCGCCUGGGGAGUACGGCCGCAAGGCUGAAACUCAAAGGAAUUGACGGGGGCCCGCACAAGCGGUGGAGCAUGUGGUUUAAUUCGAAGCUACGCGAAGAACCUUACCAGGUCUUGACAUACUAUGCAAAUCUAAGAGAUUAGACGUUCCCUUCGGGGACAUGGAUACAGGUGGUGCAUGGUUGUCGUCAGCUCGUGUCGUGAGAUGUUGGGUUAAGUCCCGCAACGAGCGCAACCCUUAUUAUCAGUUGCCAGCAUUAAGUUGGGCACUCUGGUGAGACUGCCGGUGACAAACCGGAGGAAGGUGGGGAUGACGUCAAAUCAUCAUGCCCCUUAUGACCUGGGCUACACACGUGCUACAAUGGAUGGUACAACGAGUUGCGAACUCGCGAGAGUAAGCUAAUCUCUUAAAGCCAUUCUCAGUUCGGAUUGUAGGCUGCAACUCGCCUACAUGAAGUCGGAAUCGCUAGUAAUCGCGGAUCAGCAUGCCGCGGUGAAUACGUUCCCGGGCCUUGUACACACCGCCCGUCACACCAUGAGAGUUUGUAACACCCAAAGUCG